CAAUAAAUACUACAUGCAAUUCUCUAUCUAAUUACACUAAUCACAUCACUAAUAUACAAAGCAAUUAACUAAUAAUCACUAAUCAAUUCUAAUCUAACAACCUAAUUACACUUAAUUAACACUAAUCAACCUUUAAGUAUAAUUAGCAAACUAAGAAGGCAUUAGUGAGUAAAACUCACUCAAAACGACGGGCUCGACGCGAGGAUCAACUUUCCUCAAAGCGGGCCGAGCAUCCGGGCUCGGGGAGGCGGCCAAAACGGGCCAAAACCCCUCUGCGAUACCCAUUUCUGCACUCUCUGUGCGCGGCUGGUUGAGGCCGUUCCGAGGUCGAUUGAGGUGGCCAAGGGCAGCUAGAGUCCGGUGGAGCUCCGGUGGGUUGAAGUGGCGGCGCAUGGUGGCCGGAGGUGGCUGAACCGUGGCUUGUGCUGGCCAAAAUGGAGCUGAACAGAGGCGGAACAGGGGUUGGACAGCAGCUCUGGAACAGCGAGUUGGGCGAGAGGGAGACCGAGCUGAGCGGAGCAGCGGCGGAGCGCACGGCGUCGCGCUGGCGGCGGUGCGGCAGCUCCGGUCCAACAACGCCAGCUGCUACCCCAACUCCAGUGUCUUCCCAGAUCUGAGAUCCCGAGCAGCAAACGGAGGGGAAGACAGAGGGUGGACGGCGUUCAAGCAGGCGAGCAGGAGACGGACGGUGGCAGCGUUCCGGCACGACGGCGAAGGCAGCUCCGGCGCGAUUGUAGCUCCUUCAAGCAACGCCGAUCGCUGCUUCUACUUCUGCUAGUCGGUUCUGUUUGAACCAAAGGGAGGAGAGGGGCGGACGCACGCAGACGGCAGCUCGGCGGGCGGCUCGGGUGUGCGAGCAGCUCCGGUGCUUGCGGGCGUGCGAUGGCGGCGGCGAGAGGCGGCGACGGGCGAAGCUGCUGUUGCUGCUUCGGCUGCUCUGGUCUUCGCACAGCCAUGGCACGAGCAGCAAGAAGAGGGAGAGAGG
rnacentral:lncRNA from 1 species